CUUAAUGCUUUUUCCAAAACAUCAACUAUGUUACGACUUACCUUACCUUUAGAUAAGGGUGACGGGCGAUAUGUGCACAUUGUUUAUCAAAUUCAUUUAAAAUUAUUAUUUAAAAAUUACUAAUAAAUCCUUUUUCAAAAUAAUUUUGAUUAGAUAUCCUUAAAUUGAAUUUAAAGUAACCCAUCUUAUCUUUUAUAUAGUUUACACCUUUACCUAACUUAUUAGGAAAAUCAAUUUUGGAGAAAAUAUUAUUAUUAAUCCUUAAGAUGGAGGUAUAUAAAAUAUUAAUAAAAGUGAAAAUUAUCGUGGAAAAUCGAUCAAAAGACAGGUUCCUCUAAUAUGAGUAAAUGCCGCCAAACUACAUUAGUUUUUUAACACUAAAAUACUACCGGAAUUGAUAAAAUAUAAAAGGGUAUCUAAUCCUGUUUUAAGUUUUUAAUUUUUUCUAUAUAUAAAAUUUUUAUAAAUGAUAAAUAAAAUUUUACUUAAUAUUUAAUAUUAUAAAAAAUAAUUUUAUAAGAAAGUAAUUGCAUAAUCUUAUUUAUAGUAUAACCGCAACUGCUGGCACUAUAAAUAGUUAAUAAAUUGAUUUACAACUUUUAUCAUAAUUAAUGUGUUUAUAUAUUAUUAGUUUCAAUCUUAUAAAUGAACUCUAAUUUAAAUCAAUAUGCUUAAAAGCUGUACUAAGCUUAAA
rnacentral:rRNA from 1 species